rnacentral:lncRNA from 1 species
GGCGACAGAGCCUUUCCCGAAGUAUUUCCUCAACGUUAGGCCCCUCUAGGCCCGGGUCCCUCGUAUCUUGAAAAUACUUCACUCUGCAAACGCACUCCAUCUUUCAGAAGCCGUCUUUUAUACUCAGUCCCCCAUGUGUGGACCACGCACAGAUCAAAAAAACAUGUCUGUAUCCUCAGUACAGACGGAAGCUCGGUUCCACGAGCCAACCCUUAGCAACCGACGUCUCACCACCCAGAGCAGACUUUCACCUAAUUAAGAACAUGUAUUAUUGGGAUUACUAUAUUUUUUUUCCUCGAAAAAAAUAAUUUUCCUAAUCAAAUUUAGUGUUUCAACCAAAUAGAAGAUUUCUUUUCUUUUUUUUUCAACCAAUUGAAAUGUUUCAGCUAAAUUAAAAAUAAAAGUUCCAAUCAAAGGAAUCUCUCUCACCGGGCCUAGCCAAGUUAAGAUUUGAGUUUGAAUCUGAGUUCGUGGAUAUCGUCAGAGGCGAUCCAGACGGGUGAGCAGUCCUCCCAGCUCUGAAUGUCUGUAGAGGUUUGGAGGCUGAGCGACCCUAGUCCUCAGGACUAUCGUCCCUGGUCACACCGUCCAGACGACCUGCCGCGGGAUCCUGCCGACAACGCCAAUUUCUGUGGUGGAAAAUUUCCACCACAGAAAUUGGCGUCUGCGAACAAGAUCCCGCGGCAGGUCGUCUGGACGGUGUGAUCAUGGACGGCGGUCCUGAGGACUAGGUUCGCUCAGCCUACAAACCUCUACAGCUGUUCUGAGUGGGAGGACUGCUCACCCGUCUGGAUCGCCUCUGACGAGAUCCAACAAACUCAAAAUCCAACCUCUACUCUCUGUGAGAGAGAUUCCGUAUUGUUGCGACUUAUCGAAGAAAAAAAAAAAAGAAAAUGGGUUUGAAGGGUUUGAAAUUGGUUUCAGGUAUUCGGGGUUAUUUGGCUCUGAUCAUUUGGUUUAGGGAAAGUAAGGCAAAUAACUUAAAAUUAAUUCUAAAACAUCCCCUACUAGACUAAAACAUAAAAGAAAACAUAACUAGGACUAGAGAUAAUAAUAUUUCUAAAAAACGACUAUUUGGCUGAAAACAUCCAAAAUAUAAUAAUUAGGAACAAACAAAAAAUUUUUUUUAUUUUAAAAAUUUAAUAUUCGGGUAAAAUGAAUUAGGUCAAAGUCUGCCCUGGUGGCCGAGGCGGUGGUUGCUAAGGGUUGGCUCGUGGAACCGAGCUUUCGUCUGUACUGAGGAUACAGACCAGUGUGCAGAUCUGAGCGC